UUUUGGCUCGUUUUUCUUGAAGCUGAAUCAACUCGUGUGCGCGAGCCUUAUCCUGCUCCGUUCCUUGAAGCAAACGCUGAAUCAAACCAGAAUUACUUUUCGCUUUUCGAAUCGACUGGUCAUCAAAUCCGCCUAAUUUCCCCCUUCCAAAUACAGCAAUUGUAGCCUCAGGUGAUGCCGAGGUUUCCGCAUCCUUCAUGGUAUCGUCUGUGGCGUCCCAAUCAAAUACAAAUUUUUUAUCAGCAUUUCUUCUUCUUUUUUUUACCACAGGAGGCUUUAUACCCAUGUACCUUUGACGAAUGGUCAUGCUGAAUGCUUCGUCCGUUGCGGAGCUCUCUGUGCCACUGUUAUUGCUAGAUACAGAGGAUACCUGGGAUUUUUUUUCAUCAUCUGCUAAUUCAUUAUUUUCUAAAUGAUUGGUAAAAGUCCUUUUUCUUAAAUCUAAUAAUUUGUCAUUCUGUUUUGCUUUCGCUUCUUCAACCUCUUUUUGUCGUCUUUCAAGGGCCAAUCGAGCUCUUUCAGCUUUGGAUAAAAACUUUGGUCUCGCCGCCUUCUCUUCCUUAACUCUUUUUUGCUGAACAAGCUGCUCCAGCGAAGGUAUAGAGUCUUGCGCUGUCAUGAACACGCUUCAAAAGAAAAAGACUUUUACGAUACUCACAAUUCUUCUAUU